CUCCGGGGCGGGGCGCGGCGCCAGCCUAGCCCGAGGAUGGAGGCUGAGGCCGCCUGUUGAGUCACAGUUUCCCUGUGAUGCUCAUUUUAACCAGAUGGCACUUGCUUAGCAGUUUGGAGGAGAAGACCUGUUCCCCUGCAGGUAUGGGCCUUUGGGAUCAUUACCCUCUCCAGAUCUGGCAGCUCCAUCAGGUGGUGGCUCUUUCUCCAAACGUCCUUGACAGCUUUAGUGCUCCUCCUUCUACUGUGCCCUCUGGUGAGCAGGGGUUUUCUGCAUCUGUGGUGACCAUAUUUCUGAACCCAGAUGAAUCAUGGGUAUGAGAAUUCUUGGGGUGUUCAAGGGAACAAAUAUUUAUUUAUUUAUUUAUUGAGAUAGGGUUGUACUCGGUCUGAACUCACCCAGGAGUUCAGUGGCAUGAUCGUGGCUCACUGCAGCCUCAACCCCUGGGCUCCAGCUAUCCUCCCACCUCAGCCUCCCUAGUAGCUGGGACUAAAGGUACAUACCACUAUACCCAGCUAAAUUUUUGUACUUUUUUUUUUUUAAGAGAUGGGGUUUCACCAUGUUGCCCAGGCUGGUCUCAAACACCAGGUCACAAACGAUCUUGUGACCUUGGUGCCUGCCUUGGCCUCCCAGAGUGCUGGGACUGCAGUGGGAGCGGAUCUUUGAAAUUGUGGCUGCCCUGAGAAGCCAGGGGCACAUGGCAGUUGUACCUCUGCUGGGGCAUCCUGGGAGCUUUCCAGCAAUGGGACUUCCCUUUUGGAUAUGGUCAGACUAGUUGCAUGCCUUUUUAUUUUGCUUGUUACCUAGGUUUCUCCCUCAUGAAAUUCACUUAUUUCAGUUACCAAAAAGUACUUUGUAGAUAAUGAUGGGGGCUUCUUACAUUGAUGGCCCAGAAAGGCUGGAAGAUGUAGGUUAACCAGACGGCCCAGGCACAAAAGCCAUAUCCACACAUUCUAAACAGGGAGAGUGCUGAGAGCCCACCCUUUGCUUUGUUUCUGGGAAAAAAUAUUGCCUCCUUCCCCUAAGAAACUGAUCUGAUUUUUCAGUGUGACCGUCAAUGUUCAUCUACCCUAAGGAUACUCAACUCUAUUUCAUGUUGUUGUGCAAAUAAAGCCUAAGGGUUGGUGAGAGGUUCUGGCUUCCCCUAAAAUACUCACUCACUGGUUGUGAACUCUUUUGUGAGAGGUGGAUUCUGAAAGUGAAUGUGUGGCUCUUGAAUACGGGGAUCAACACCAGCUGUGUUGGCAGCAGAACUUGCAGGGUUUUAGGGAAAGAGAUCUGGGGCAACAAAGGGAGGGUAGCUGGGCAGAGUGGGGGUGAGUGGGGUGGAGCUGGAAUGGGGAAGGCCAAGGUAAAGAUGGACCAAGAGCUGAGACUAGCUGAGGAGCCCUGGUCUGCAUGGCUGGGGCAAGGCUGGCUCAAUCUCAGCUCACUGCAACUUCCAUCUCCUGGGUUCAAGCAAUUCUCCUGCCUCAUCCUCCUGAGUAGCUGGGACUACAGGUGCCUGCCCCCAUGCCCCGCUAAUUUUCGUAUUUUUAGUAGAGACAGGUUUUCACCUCAUUGGCCAGGAUGGCCUUGAUCACUUGGCAUUAAGUGAUCCACCCACCUCGGCCUCCCAAAGUGUUAGGAUUACAGGCAUGAGCCACCAUGCCCAGCCCCUUGAACACAGGUCUUUAAAUGGUUUAUUUAACAAAUUCUUACAAGAGUCUACAAUGGGCUUGACUUACGUGGAGGAAAGAUGCCUAUUGUGGAGGAACCCUUACAGUGGACUUUUUUUUUUUUUUUGAGUCAGGGUCUCACUCUGUCACCCAGGGUGGAGUGCACUGGUGUGAUCAUGACUCACUGCAGCCUCGACCUCCUGGCUCAGGUGAUCCUCCCACCUCAGCCUCCCAAGUAGCUGAGACCACAGGUGCACACCACCACGCCCAGCUAGUUUUUUUAUUUUUUGUAGAAAUGGGGUUUCUCCAUGUUGCCUGGUCUGGUCUUGAACUCCUGGGCUCAAACGAUCUGUCCAUCUUGGCUUCCCAAAACCUGAAGCCAGGCCAGGUAUGUUAAUUUCCUCGGGCCCCCAUGUCAAAAUACCACAAACUGGGUGGCUUAAAUGUUGAUCAUUUUAUUGUCUCACCUUUCUUGAGUCAGAAGUCUGAGAUUAAUGUGUCAGUAGGGUUGGUUCCAGGCAUUUGGAGGUGGGGCACUCAUAUUUCCUUCUGAGGGCUGUGCAGGAGAAUCUGUUCCAUGCCCCUCUCCUAACUGCUGUUUUGUUUUGUUUUGUUUUGUUUUGUUUCUCUUUCCUCCAUCUUGUGGAUGCAAAAAUAUAAACUGACCCAAGAGAUUCAUUAUUUAGAAAGUGAUGCCUUAUACCCAGGAUUUAAUCAGUGGCUCUUCAGGUUGCCAUGUAGAAAGCAGCUUUGCUGGCUGCCACUUUCGAUCAAGGGCUAAACUCUGAGGGUGACAUGCCACUAAGGAGCUGAACGGAGCCUGAGUCCUUGUAGCAGAGGCUGGUCUCCAGUCCUGUCUGUUCUUCUUCUUGGGCACACAGCUAGGCUACAUUCCCUAGCCUUCCUUGGAGCUUAGAAUAAUUCCUAGCCAAUAGCAUUUGAGUAUAAUUGAGUGGGCCACCUCCAGAUGUGGCCCAUUACAAGUCACAUUCUCUGCCUCCAACCCAGGUUACUUCAGGUAAUAAUCCUUCUGCCUAGAAAGGUUGGGCACCCUGAUAUGCACAAAUCUGCAUUAACUUCACAGAUGACUCAAUUAGCAGGUGAUGACUUACUGGCAGUGUUCAUUACGGUGGCCUUUCUAGUUGUCAUCUUCCCAGAUGACAUUUUUAGAAUUUCAUCUCUACACUUUCCAAAAACACUACUUGACACCUGUGGGUUUUAAAAUGAAAUAACCUCAGAUAUGAAAUAACCUUUCCCCAAUCCAUUCAUUGUAGUUGGAAGCUGGUCUUACUAAUGGCAGGGUGACCGUAACACUUGGUUAUGAACCAGGGUAUUGCCUCCAACCAAGCCUUAACAAUCUCAUCCUCCCUUUAGCCUUCCAUGAUUAGACCUCAACUCAUGAGAACUCUUGCCUUGCUCACAAGUGGGAGUAAAUGCUCAUAGCUCUAGAAAUCUCCCAGGAACCAGACAUCACGGAAACUAGAAAGGCUAAGGGAGUCCAAUCUUCCUCUAAAUUGGCCAACAGUAGAGUGGUGGAAAGAGAACAAGCUGCAAACCAGACAGACCCAAGCUUGAAUCUCACCUCUGCCAAGCUACCAGGUACGUGAGUUUUUCCAAGUUAUAUCACUCCCCUGAUACUCAGGCGCCUCAUUUGAAAGAUGAAGCCUCUUCCUAUCUUACAAGGAUGAAGCAUAUGGAAUGGAAAGCCCUCUGUCAAUGUGGUUAUCUUUGGAAGUGAUUGCAGCUCUCUUGCUUCAUUCUCGCACACCUCUGGAGCCCUUGGUCUCAGUUAGAAUCCCAGCCCUGACACUUAAUGAGGUGUGUAACUUGUCCAAAUAAUCUAACUUCUUUGUACUGUUUCCUCAUCUUUAAAAAGAGGACAAUAAUAGCACUACCUACACAGCACUGUUGCAAGGAUUUAGUGAGUUAAAGUGUGCGUAGUACAUACAGCAGAGCGUGUAGAAGUAUCCAGUGAACUGUUAUUAUCAUAUGAAGAGACUAUUUGGUUGAUCUCGUCAAGGACAGAAAGCUCCUUGGGGCUUGAAACCUUGCCUGUAUACCAGUUACAGACUCCCUUUUGCUGUUAAACCCAGUCCUUAGGAUGCUCAGUCAAAUCCUGUGGACUUACUGGCUGUUCUGCUGACGUGGAAACAAGGUGGGGUGUGACCCAUCUCCGGGCGAGUAAACUUUUGGGCACCUGACAGUGUCAGAGCCUCGGGUACCACCUGUAAAUGGAUGGAACCCUGUGUCUGUGCCCAUAGCAUUGGUCUGGUCUGUCAUCAGAAAGGAAUCUUGCUGUCAGAUGAUCACACAUCCUCCCAUAGUCUAGUUUAGUUUAGUUUAGUUUAGUUUAGUUUAGUUUAGUUUAGUUUAGUUUAGUUUAGUUUAGUUUUUUAAGACAGGGUCUCGCUCUGUCACCCAGGCUGGAGUGCAAUGGCAUGUUCAUGGCUCACUGCAACCUUGACGUCCCAGGUUCAAGCGAUUCUCUCACUUUUGUCUCCCAAGUAGCUGGAACUACAGGCAUGCACCACCAUGCCUGGCUAAUUUAAACAUUUUUUGUAGAGAAGGGGUUUACCAGUGUGGCCCACGCUGGUCUUGAACUCCUGGGCUCAAGCGAUCCUCCUGCUUUGGCCUCCCAAAUUGUUGGGAUUAUAGGCGUGAGCCACUGCACCUGGUCCCCCAGAAGCUAAAGGAUGGUGCAGGUUCUGUUUUUAAAUGUACCUGUUAAGUAUGUAUUAGCUCAAACAGAGUUUACCUGAGAUGUGCAUCUGGGGUCCACCCUCUUUGGCACUGUCCCUCAUUUUCCUCCUCCAACAUUCUCCCAAUCUCUCUCUGUUAACCCCAACAACCUGCCACCCCUCCCUAACAAAGGAUUCCCAGCUCAAGGCCAAUUCCAAUUGGAUCGAGUUUUUCUUCUGCAGAAAUUGUGGGGAGGUGGCUUCAGAGGCUCACAAGCAGAACCCCACCCAGACACAUAAACUUUUCUUUGGCUGGUACCAACUCCUCUAUUGCAGGGUAUGGUCCAAGUAGGUUAUACAAGUCUCUACCUCUUCUAGCUGAAGCCAACCUCCCAGGAAAAGGAUGAGAGGAGAAAGCCAUCCUGCCUGGUGUGUGGAUAAUACCACCACCAGAGUCUCCUGUAAUUUUGAUUCGAUGGCAUGCAGCUGCGUGACCUAAGGCACGUAUCUCCAUUCACAGGGUGUGGUCAGUACUCUGUGAAUAUCAGGUGUUCUGUCUGCCCUGUCUCCUGUCUUCCUGGAGCCUGCCCUUACCCAGUGAGUCCCUGGAGGGAACAUUCUGGCAUCUGGCUGUGAGCUGUCACAGACAUGGGUUUCUUUCGGUUCCCAGAAUGAUGGGAUGCCAGCCGCUGGCUGCCCCCAAGAAACUUGGGAGCAGGACAGGCUUGGCUGUCCCAGAGGAAGAGCCUGGCAUUGGGCCAGGAGGCUCAGGAGGGAAGAUGAGCUCAUUCUGCCCAGCUCGGUUCUCCCGUAUGCAGACCAGGUCAUCACAGGGACCUGCCUCCACAUUUGCAUCCCCCACGGCAUAUUUUCCCAGCACAUGCAGCAUUGGGAACUUGAACGUCCCUCUGCUUUUCCUUGGUGAGACCCACCAGCCCCGCCUUAGGAAGGAGGCUGAACAUUUGACGGAGCUUUCCUGUCACCUGUGAGCGACGUGCACGCUGCUUCCGAAGAAAGAGACAUCCCCCUACUGUUUUCUCACAGUGGGAUGAUUCAACUUUUUCUUUCUCACAAUCCCAGAUAAUCAUAUCUUCCCAGGUUUUGUCAUCUUUGAGGACUACUCACUAUCUAGUUAUGAGUCAAACAAAACCCAAUUUAACUGAUAACUAACCAGCCAUCACGUAUCCCUGAAGAUAAACCUGGUUUAUCCUUUUUAUACCCUCUGGCAGAGCAAAGGAACAAGGAGUUUGGGAGAGAAAAAAAAACACAACACUAGAAACAGCACUGACACAGGUCGUUAAAUACAGAUGUGACCAGCCUUGAUUACAAGUGUUGUCAUCCUCUUUUAACAGGGACCUACCCCGAACUUUCAUGAACCCCUGGUAGCUGAAUAGCAGCUUGUCUAAGCGAGGUGCAGGGAUUUUGUCAAAGUCGGCCUCGGUGUUAAAGGCAGGGCCACCUACCAUGAACUUCUCUCUGUGACUUUAUUCUUUAGCAGUGCUCAAGUGUAAAUAAACUUGUUUACCAGGAUCAGAAUGGCCAUGUUAAUGAAGUCUUAUUUGUGUCACCACAAUGACAAGUAAUUUGUGCACAGCUGGACUCGGAGAGGGGACAAAACCAGAGAAAUUGUAUUUCUGUUCUGAAGUUUCCAUACAGAUGCCUUAGGCCAAAGUUAGUACAGCCAAUAUUUGCCUGUUUCUUUGGAUUGUGUGUCCAUGCUGGAGAAAAGCCUUGUUACUGUGCCCAGUGUGGUAAACGAAAUUAUAUGUACGCAGUGAGAAGAAAAAUGAAAUAAGAAGCACUGAUGAAUGUACCCACGGGUGUGACCUUGGGGGCCAGUGUGUGGUUUUUAUGAAAUGAACGCAUGAAUACGAGGACCCUAAUUAUUGCUUUCAACGGACAAAGUAUGGUGAAUAUAUAGAGAACGUUGCUGUACAACACUGGCUGUGUCUCAAAGCGGCUUUAGAAGUAAAUAUAGAAAUUCUUUGGUACAUGGUAUUGCAUAGAAAAGUCAUUAAGAAAAAAGCAAGACAAUUUGUUAAGACCUUGUUAAGUGGAGCUGGGGGAUGAUUAAUUUUGUUUGUUUGUUUUUGUUGUUCCCUGGUAGAGCUCAACAAACUACAGACCACGGGCCAAAUCUGACCCACCGCUGCUUUUGUAAAUAAAACUUUAUUGGAAAAAAGCCACAUUUGUGUAUGUGUUGUCUGUGGCUGCUUUUGUGCUACCGAGACAGAGGCAAGAAAGGAGAGAAAAAGAGGCAUGGAGCAGGUAUAUUACGGGUUGAAUUGAGUUCACCAAAAAGAUAUGUUGAAAUCCAAAGCCCCAGUGUCUGUGAAAGUUACCUUAUUUGGAAAUAAGGUCUUUGCCAAUGUAAAGAUAAAGUCAUGCUGAAUUAAGGUGAGCCCUAACCUAAUAUGGCUGGUGUCCUUAUAAGAAGAGAAGAGACAGACAAAGGGAAGGAGUCCAUGUGACCACAGGGCCAGUGGAAGUGAUGCAACUGCCUGCCAAGUGCACCAAGGAUGGGUGGCCACCAGCAGAAGCUCGGAAGAUGCAAGGAAGGAUUCUAUCCAGAGUUACAGAGGGAGCAUGGCCCAGCUGACACCUUGAUUUCAAACCUGUAGCCUCAAGAAAUGUGGAUAAUGACCUUCUGUCAUUUUAAGCCACCCCGUCUGCAACACUUUCUUAUGGCAAUGUGAUGGGUAAGCUUAUGUGUCAAUGUGACUGAGCCCCAGGAUGCUUAGAUACUUGAUGAAACA
rnacentral:lncRNA from 10 species